rnacentral:lncRNA from 1 species
GCUCCUCCCUCUCCCUUCCACUCUGCGCUGGGGAGGGGGCCCGGGGAAGACGUGGCUUCAGCCUUACCCCGGAGGAUGAGAGGGCUUGGGCUGGGUGGAGGCGGAUGAGGGGAAGCACGGAGAUGCUCCUUCCCUCUCACUGGGGAUGCAGCAGCAGGUGGCGGCGACGUGGCCCGUGGAGGCCUGGCGCCCACAGGCGCGGAGAUGGACCCGGUCCAGGCAGGAGCGCGGUGAAGGUGGCUGUGGGCGCGUGGAUGUGUAAGACACGCUCCCACCCACGUGGUGUACAGGGGGACCUGAGGACGCGGGUGAAGGAGAAGCCACCUCCUUCCUCUGGUCUCCCUCCCUCCUUCCUGGACAUUUUGCUCCUGCGUUGUCUCUUCAUCAUGGAAGCAAAGGUCGCUAGACUCCCUGCUCUGAGCUCCUCCUACCUUCUCCAGAACUGGAGGAUGGCCAGGUGGUUGGGGGGCAGCUGUGUCCUCGUGAUCAAACCAACCCCCCCCCACGCCCCCGUGGCAGCGCCUCCCCGCGCCACCCCUUUGUCCGGUUGCCCACCUUGGGGACCCUAUCACCUGCCUUGGGCGCCUUCCUGUUUCUGGAUUUGGGACUUCUCAGACCGGGGUUCAAAUCUGGGCCCCUCCAGUUUCCUGCAGUAUGUUCCCUAAGGUACCCAUCUCCAGUAAAAUGGAGUGUUUGUCCCCUAAAGCUUGUGGCUAAGUCCUAGUACAUAAGGUGCUCUAUCAGUGUGAAUGUGUACUUGCUAUAAGGUGUGCAGCCUGUCUCCUGCUCCUCUGAGACCUCACCAAUAGACACCCCAAAGCCCAGGAAAGUGGGGAAAGGGUCGUGAAAUGCCCUCGUAGCAGACAGGGAACAUUGCUUUUCAAGAUGAGGGAGGUGACUUGCUGGAGUCCACUGGGUGCCUCAAAGCAGAGCUGGGCCCAGAACCCAGGCACCCUGGUUCCCAGGCUCCCACACCCCACUGUGGCCCCCUCUUCCACAGCUGGGUGCAGGGAGUCUCGCUUCCCCACUCCUCAGAGGCCCUCCCAUUCUUGCUACAGGAUAGGAACCACCUGCUGCCUCACCCACAGGACCCAGCCCACGCCCCUUCCUGAUGCUUCUGCCCUCUUCCUCUCUGGAAUGGUGUAGGGAGGAGAGGCAGAAGACGAAGACGGACCCUGCAGAGGGGGGAUCCUGCCUGCCCAGGAAUGCCCCUCACUCUCCACAGGGCGGAUCCCCUCCCUAAGGGGCUUUGAGCAACAUCAGGGCCUGAGCUGGUUUUGUUGGCCCAGUUUCAGGAUACUUCCUCUUAUUAUGAUGAUGAUGAUGAUGGAGAUGUCAAUAACUCUCGUAGAAAAACCCUGCAAACCCACCCAAACAGAAACCUGUAUCUUAAGACACAGUGGCCCAAAGGCAGCACUUUACUGGGAAAAAUACUUCGCGUCCCAGCCCAUAUGCAACAGUUGAGAUGCAGCAUUUCCCAGUGAACUUGGGGGAAACACCUCUAAAUUUCCCCACCAGUUUUUAUGAUUGGCAGCAGGUCCACAGAAACUCCAGAAGACCUGUUUCCUGGGGCUGUAUUGGCAGCCGACCCUUUUUCAGCCCAGACUUCCCAAAACGCAGACAUCUAACUUGGUCAGGGAACCCAGUGCCUACAGCAAAGGAAAGCUCCGAGCUUGUAAUCCAUGCAUAACCAGUAUCUGGGCCCCACUAUUCCAGGAAACAGGGCAGCCUCUGGGGAAACAUGAGUUGAUGGCACAGGCAUCUCAUUCAUGGUUCACAAAGAUUUGAAGAAUGUUGGCCUGUGCUGUAGCCAAAGCCAGCAUGUUCACCUUUACAGUGUGUGUAUGGGGCCGGACAGGAAGCCGCAGGUAAGGCUUCCCUCCAUUGCAUUGCCAUCCCUCAAGCUUUCCUCAGUAGAGGUGGGGAGUGCACCAGCAAGCUGGGAUCAAGGCAGCCCACGGAUCCUCAGGGCCACAUCUUUCCAGGGUGCCCAUUUCCAGUGGAGGAGCAUCUCCCCAAGUUUCUAAGGAGCAUUCACUCAAGUCAGGCACCGUGCUGGGCACAGGGAUGCAAAGAUGGAUUUGAUAAGCCCUCUGUCCUCUGGGUCCUCCUGCAUUUAUAGAGGGCCUAGCCCAGGCCAGGUACUCCAGUUACUAAGGGCUUCAUCUGCGGGAGCUUGUUUUAACGUCACCAAAGCCUGUAAGGCAUUACCAAGUGCUACUCUUGGAAGCAUAAGGAAAGCGACUACAUCUGUCUGCAGGGACUGCAGCUGGCUACACAGAGGAGAUGGCAUUUGAGUUGGGUCUCCAGGCAUGAUGUUUUGCAGUUUUCCAAGCCUUUGGCACCCCAUAUUUCACUGGCCCUUGUCACAUACAUGAGAGUUUGGUCGGGAUGAUUCCUCAGCCUCAAAGCUGAUAGCUGGCAGACCCCACGACUUGAACCUGGGGCUUCCUCCUGGGUCGUCUCGUCCUGAUAAGUCUGGAUAAUUUUGUAUGGCUCUUUAUGGUUUGCCAAGGACGUCCGCCUCCCUGAGUCCACUUCUCCUGACUGUGUCAGCAUCUCCAGCUUCAAAGAAAGAAAAUGCCAGGCCAGGAAGGGGCAACACCUACCCGGCAGAGCCUCUGGUCUGCAGGGGGCCUGGAGGGUGGCUCAUGGGGCUCAUCCAGACAGGCUGGGCCUCCGGGGUGAGCAGCAGUUUGAACCAGGUGUGUUCGUGCUAACAGGACGGCCCAGGUAAGGAGAGGGCUUGUGUGGGGGUGACAUAAAGGACAGGUAAAAGGAAGAGGACUCAAACACUGCUUUCUGUGGGAAAGGGGGCUUUAGGGUCUGAAAUCUUCCUUUGUGACACCCAUAUUAAAGUGGUUAUCAGAAUAAAAUGACCCAACCAACCAAGCUCAGGAAGCAGGAAGAGACUUGGACUCAAGACAACUGAGGAGAGAUGAGAAAAGAAAACAGGUCCCUGAAAGAGGGGGUCAUCAACUUCAAACAUCUGGAGGGUUUUCUGACAGGAGAGGGUUUGACAAGCUUUGAUGUGUGGCCCCAAAGGGUAAACUAGGCCACCAGGGAGACGGUGGUUUUCUUCAGGAUUUGGAAGAGUGACACUUAGAGCAAUGAUUGGUGAAUUACAAUUCAUGGGCCAAAUCUGGCCCGCUGACUACUUCUGUAAAUAAAGUUUUGUUGGACCACAGGCUGCCCAUUCAUUUAUGUAUUGUCUGUGGUGCUUUCCUGCUGCCUGAGCAGAGUUGAAUUUUUGCUACAGAGACUGCGUGGGCCACUAAGCCUAUAAUAUUUAGUAUCUGGCUCUUUGCAGAUACUAAACAGUUUG